AAAUUGAAGAGUUUGAUCAUGGCUCAGAUUGAACGCUGGCGGCAGGCCUAACACAUGCAAGUCGAACGGUAACAGGAAGCAGCUUGCUGCUUUGCUGACGAGUGGCGGACGGGUGAGUAAUGUCUGGGAAACUGCCUGAUGGAGGGGGAUAACUACUGGAAACGGUGGCUAAUACCGCAUAACGUCGCAAGACCAAAGAGGGGGACCUUCGGGCCUCUUGCCAUCAGAUGUGCCCAGAUGGGAUUAGCUUGUUGGUGAGGUAACGGCUCACCAAGGCGACGAUCCCUAGCUGGUCUGAGAGGAUGACCAGCCACACUGGAACUGAGACACGGUCCAGACUCCUACGGGAGGCAGCAGUGGGGAAUAUUGCACAAUGGGCGCAAGCCUGAUGCAGCCAUGCCGCGUGUAUGAAGAAGGCCUUCGGGUUGUAAAGUACUUUCAGCGGGGAGGAAGGUGUUGCGGUUAAUAACCGCAGCAAUUGACGUUACCCGCAGAAGAAGCACCGGCUAACUCCGUGCCAGCAGCCGCGGUAAUACGGAGGGUGCAAGCGUUAAUCGGAAUUACUGGGCGUAAAGCGCACGCAGGCGGUCUGUCAAGUCGGAUGUGAAAUCCCCGGGCUCAACCUGGGAACUGCAUUCGAAACUGGCAGGCUUGAGUCUUGUAGAGGGGG
rnacentral:rRNA from 1 species